rnacentral:rRNA from 1 species
UACGGAAGGUUCGGGCGUUAUCCGGAUUUAUUGGGUUUAAAGGGAGCGUAGGCCGUAGAUUAAGCGUGUUGUGAAAUGUAGAUGCUCAACAUCUGACUUGCAGCGCGAACUGGUUUACUUGAGUGUGCGCAACGUAGGCGGAAUUCGUCGUGUAGCGGUGAAAUGCUUAGAUAUGACGAAGAACUCCGAUUGCGAAGGCAGCUUACGGGAGCACAACUGACGCUGAAGCUCGAAGGUGCGGGUAUCAAAC